rnacentral:SRP_RNA from 1 species
GAUCGUUGGGUACGGCGGAGACCAACGAACCUGGUCAGGGGGGAAACCCAGCAGCCAUAAGUUGUAAGCUUCGGGUGUGCCCAGCGGUCACC